rnacentral:sRNA from 2 species
UUUGUAUAAUUAAAAUGUUCUGGCGGAGGAAUCCGGUUAAAUUCCGGAGCUGCCCCGCAACGGUGAAGUUCCCGCGCUAUCAUGCGCGUGGGCUAAGCCCGGUCUACCGCCGGAACUGUCGCAGCCUGCGAGGGACGGCCUUUUU